rnacentral:lncRNA from 1 species
UGUGGCCCCACAAGUGGGGUGGGGUGGGGUGUGCGCAGACGUUACCCCUACCUUUGUGGGGGAGAGAGGUUGUUUCUGGAUGACCCUCUGCUCAAGAAUCGUAUUUCAGAACAGGUUUGGAAAAAAAACUAGAGUAAAUAAGCUAUGAUGAAAGCCCCCAAGGCCUAGCUCAAGUGGCAAAAGGUGGAGGAUUUGUGGCUUAGGUCGCAGGUUCAAGCCCCACACCAUGCAAAGCGAAGCCCGGUAUUUAAGUGGAGAAGGGUAGAGGGGCGGGCCCAUUAUCCACCGAGUUUAGAAGGCUGU